UGCUGGUUGGAAGCUUGAGAAGGUUGUUGAACCAAAUUAAGCUUAAUUGGUGACUUUGGGGACUGAAUUAAAAGGUGUUCUAACAAGGGCGAGAGUACGAUCGAGCCU